GUUGUAUAGUCUUGUUUAAUGGGUAAAUUGCAACUGUCUUUCUUUAAAAUUAUUUUUCUUAAGUGUAAUCAGGUAUAUAUUUUUUGAUUCAUCUCUUUUAAGAAUAUCCGAUUUAGAAGACUUGCAAUUCUUAAGUGAGUCUUGAAGAAGCUAUUUGGACAAUGGCAUAUCUAUUAAUAGAUGGCUACAGAAGUAAAGGAACCUGUAGUGUACACAGAUUGGAAACCGUGGUCUGAUGUGUAGCCUCCCUUCAAACCCAGGAGACCAUUGUACUGACUGCGCUUCCCGUCGCUGUAAUUAUCUCCUAACAUUUUUAUAGUGAGCAUUGAUUGCCACUUGCUCACUCAUUCGGUUGGAGAAAGUGGAACGGUGAUCAGGUGCCAGCAUGGAGGCAGGGUCCAUGCAGGUCCUGUGUGUGGUUUCAAAAGGAGCUGUUUGCAUUACAUGGGACAACCGUCUGACAUUUCUGGGUUCAAUACAAAUGUUACAUCUGGGAUUUCUUUCACUUACCAAGGAUUUUAUUGAAGAUACAUGACAGAUGGCAAUUUUUUAAGAGGAAAAAAAAACAUGAGAUGGUGACUUGUAUUUGAAGAGCAUUAGGCAAAAUGUCUGUUCUCCCACCGCCAUCUCCUUGGGUGUAUCAUUCAUGUUCUUUCUCAGGAAGAGAAGGACACAUUCUGUUUCUUAGCUACUGAAUCCUUCUCUGUCUUCUAUUGCUAUUGAUAGGUAAGUAAACCUAAAUUUGCUCCCCAAAUUGUUAUGGCUAAACACAUGGCAGAUAACAAGUGGUUCCACAAGCCGUCAUCGAUGCGUCUCAAAGUGGCUUUCUUCAUUAUUAACAUAUUUAAUAUGCUUACCAAUAGGGUUUGGUGAUAUUUCCAUAUGUAUAUACACAGCCUUAUUAUAGCCACUGUCUUGUAAAUUCUGUGAGAGCAAAACUGAGCCUGUCCUGUUCGUUCUUAGCAUUUAAUAUGGAGAGGUAAUGUGGUCGUGACAGGGAGUCAUUCUGUUGUACAGUUUUGCUGGUUGUUGCCUUUAAAUCAGGUUAAAGGUGAACAUUCACUUGGUCUCUGCAUCUGCUUCUGGCAAUUGUUCUACACUUCCCUCUCGAGGUAAAAUUUCUUUCUGGAAGAUGUCCUUUGGAAGACAUUUCAACAUACAACACAGAGAUUGAGAUCGCUGUGUUCUCUGGGAGGGGAAGGUUAAGGAAAGGCGCCUUGUGUAUCCCAGAGUGGCCUUGAACUUGGGGUGAGCCCCCUGCCUCUACUCCCCCAGUGUUAGGAUAACAGGCACAUUCUCCAGGCCUAGCAUAAGACUGCGGUUCCCAUGUUUAGAGUACAGGAAAAUAUGAAUGUAGAUGGAGAUAUUUAUUUUCUUCCUGAUAAACAAUCACAGAUGAUCUGAGGCUGAGAGGCUGACAGAGCGGAAUCCUAAAGUAUGUGUUUAUGUGUGCACUCACAUGAGUGUGUCGUCUGCAUGUCUGGAUACACUGUUCUGGUACCCAAGGAUGGGUUAGCAGGGCUAGGAUUGAUGACUGUGACAUCUGAUGAAGCCCUUGCUGAGCUCGGCUUUCUUUGCCAGAGAAUGACCUAUGUGUGUCAUAAUGGCAUAUCUCAGAAAGAGAAAAGUAGUAAAUCCUAGAGUACUGCCCCCAGAAGUCUGUGUACUACAAGCCCAGAUUUUUUUUUUUUUUUUUUUUGGUUCUUUUUUUCGGAGCUGGGGACCGAACCCAGGGCCUUGCGCUUCCUAGGUAAGCGCUCUACCACUGAGCUAAAUCCCCAGCCCCCAGAUUUUUUUUUUUUACUGUAAAGAUUUUUCAAUCUCGUUGGAUGCGUCUGUGUUUAUGCAUUUAUAUGAUUGGCAUUGGACCAAACUGACUUAGAAAAAUGCAGCUUAGAUCAAGCAAGUAAAAUUGCAGAACAUGAAAAGUGUAGCCCAGGAAAGGUAACUACAGCAGGUUGCAGAGAUCUAGAAUUAUUUUGCAUUUAGAAAUCUUUCUUUUGCAUAUCAUAUCCCGUUUUUUGUUCAGUCUCCCCGCAUCUCCCAUUGAGAUUGCUUUGGAGGGAUGCUACACACCAACUUUGCUGGCUCCUUUUUGUCUAUCUAGACUAAAAGAUAAUUGUGGAAACGUUCUCCUAUUAUUGCUUAACAUAGUGCAAUUCCCAGGGCCGGAAGCAGCCAGGGCUCCCUUUGUCUAACAAACAGGUAAUGCGUUUAAACAAAGGCUACUGGGUUUCUGCCAGGAUGCAGGCAGACUCACAGCUAAGGAGUAUGAAGGAUGUUUCUUUCACUUCCUCCCUGGCCUUUAAAAACACUGGCCAAAUAGUCAAAUGCAGAGGCUUGCAAGCGCUGAACAAGAUGGCUGGCAGAUAAAUUCCAAAACAAGUGGAGAGAGGUCAUUUGCAUUUCUUCUUGGAAGCCAAGAAUCAGGCAGUGAUGACCUACCUUGCUGCUAUGACAAGAACUUCAGUGAUUGUUCGGUUUCCUUCAACAGCUUCUCCUUUUCUCAGUUAUCCAUUUGGGGCUUUAGCUUGUAUCUUGUGUCUUUAAAUAAAACAGCUGACUUGCCUUGCCUGUGACCUCUGGGAAUAAUUUAAUUCUUGCAGUGGGAACUAAAUAUCCACACAGCAGCAAAUGAAAAUUCUUCUCUGACCCCCAAACCCCAGACAUGUGGGCUCCUCAGUGCUCUCCUUGGCUUGGAGAUUGGGGAAUGUCCAUGCACUGUCUUUUUAAUAUUCCAAACCAUCUCAGAGGUCAAAGCUGUAAAUCUCAACAAGAUAUGGAUGUCAAACCUUUGUACAAUGAGGGAGGUAUGUGAAUUUUUAUAAGUGGAGGUAUACUGUAACAGAGAGACAGGGUCAUUUAGUGAUCUAUCCAGUCUGCAGUUUUAUGAUAGAGCAGGAAGUCUGAAAGGGGAAGAAAUUAACAUUAAUUCAAUGCUCAAUUAAUGCUAGGCCACUUGGAGUGAAUUAACAUAUCCAAUUCUCACAACAAAGUUGCUAUCCAUCUAUUUUACAGAUGAGGAAGGUGAGAAUUAGAGCGAUUUAAUAAAGUGCUUAAAUUCACACACAUGAGGGGAGACAGAAGCACAGCACAGGCUCAUGUCGAACAGCAUUCUGAGCACAUAAUAUGAACAAACUCAGGAAGAAAGCCCGCCUACUCUUUUCCUGUGGACUGUGGCAAUACUCUGCCAGUCUAGUACAGUAGUACUAGUAUUUUUCCUCUUGCUCCUUUGCCCGCCCUUUUGAAAAGCUUUGGUUACCUCUCAGGAGCUUCAGUGAGGUCUCCCUCACUUCUUCAGGCCUUGCUUCCCAAUGGGGUGAAAGUGGCAGCAGCAUGGACCCUUUGCCAGAGCAUCAGGAAGGCAAUGCUCCUGAUCGAAAGAAGACACGCUACCUGUGAGUUGAAGCGUUCUGGAUGCAGACUAACAGGUAAAGUGAUUGGAACUUGGUCUUGGCUGACUUAUAGGCUUUGGCUGGACAGUGAAUGUGGGAGAGGCUGUCCCAGGACUGUAGGGGCUAGAGUGACUGAAACUACAGGUUGGGAGAGCACCAGGAGCAUUUGGGUGGUACAACUGCAGACUGGUUGGUUAGAGAGGAGGGCUCAUUCAUGUGAUGAAAUGACAGACAGUCAAAGGGAGGGGGACAAUGGAGACUGCUUCUGCCCUUGCGAUUUGGUAGUUUCAGGCAUCUCUGUUAAAUGGGGACAAACAGCGCUGACCUUCCCCCAUAGGCAGGCUGAGGGUUCUGAAUCAUCAGUGACUGGAAGUGGUAAGCUCCAUUAUGUAGGGCAGGAUAUUAUACCCACCAGCCAGCCAUUCUGUGCAGUUGGAUUUUUGUUCCACUGAAAGAGUCUCUUGGUGUGAGCUCAAUAACUAGGGGCGUGCUGGUAGUUUCUCUGCGUUGCCAGAGGAUUUCUUCCAGUGCCUCCUGCUCUGAAGCACCUCUUAUGAUUAAUUAACCUUUUGUGGAAUAACUAGGACAUCUGUGUGGGAUGAGAUGUACUUCGGUCAGACUUCAGCUUUGAGUUCCUCAGCAAGAGGAUAAUUAAUUAUAAAGAGCUGUAUGUGAGCAGAAGAGAGUUGGAGGAAGUCCAAAUGAAGCAAACAUCUAAUUAUCAAUGAGCAGGAAGACUUUUAUUUUUGUAAGUCAUUGUUGUUGUAGGAACAAAUAAAAUGCUUAAGGCAAAGUAAAUAAGAGGUAGUAAUCACAAGAUGCUUGCUUUGACUGAAUGCUUAGUGUAAAAAGAAAAUUUGGAUUUUUUUUGUUGUUGUUGUUGUUGUUUUGUUUUGGAGCUAAGGUAAUGAACUAAAUGUAACCAGAUACUGAAAAUGGAGGCCAAGUUAGUUUCUCAGAUGAGGAUGCAUUCCUUCUGAGAUAAUUGUUCUGUUGACUUUUAACAAGGGCACAUCCGGCAUCAUCUGCCAUUAUUAUCGCUUGCAAGAGGCAAUAAGUAGCAAUCUCUUAUCUGGAGAAGAAGGUUGGGCGGAGACACAAAGUAAGAGAUAAUAUAUAAGAAGCUAAAAACUGCAAAAUCAAUUUCUUUAACAGAAACGGCUUUUGUGGUGGAGAUAGUUUCCCAACGCCUUGCUCCCUGAGGUGAACCUCCGCAACAUUUAGCUUUGUCUGUAGAAUACAAAUCUUUCCCAGAGCCCAUUUGCCCGGCAUGGUCUGAGUCUGGCGUGACUUCCAUUGUCACAGUGAUGUUAGUGGGUUAGGGGGGAAAUUUCCACCCUGAAAAUAAUAUUGCAUUCGCUAAUUCAGUUAUUAAUGAUACUGUGCGACUUCUUCUGAGCAUGAAUAUGCUUCUCUAGAUAGGCUUAGAAAACCCACUACCCUUCCACUGCCCCGGUGCCUUUAUUUGUUCAUUCUUCCUACUGCUGUAAAAGUUCUCAUGCCUCCUCUGCUUCUCUCUACCUCUGUUGCUUCCGGUUAGUAUUUAGAGAACACCAGAUGCAUCUCUCAGUGUCUAUAACUUUCUACUGUCUGCUGUUGUUGGAGGAUAAUUCUCCUUGGGUGUCUUGCAGGUCUGCAUACACAAUGAUCAGAGAAAACGACAAAUUUUGCUCUGGACUGUCUGUUCGUGGUUAUUUGCAUUGUGUGCAGGCUUGGAAGAUAAUGAUAGCUUCACCCUCCAGAGAGAAGGGCAGCCAUUUUUAUUGUUAUGGAUAAUAAAGAUAUCGUCUCUU